UCCUAGCAAGUGACCAACCUGAGGUGGCCGU
rnacentral:piRNA from 1 species